GAUGAACGCUGGCGGCGUGCUUAACACAUGCAAGUCGAACGAUGAAGCCCAGCUUGCUGGGUGGAUUAGUGGCGAACGGGUGAGUAACACGUGAGUAACCUGCCCUUAACUCUGGGAUAAGCCUGGGAAACUAGGUCUAAUACCGGAUAGGAGCGCCUACCGCAUGGUGGGUGUUGGAAAGAUUUAUCGGUUUUGGAUGGACUCGCGGCCUAUCAGCUUGUUGGUGAGGUAAUGGCUCACCAAGGCGACGACGGGUAGCCGGCCUGAGAGGGUGACCGGCCACACUGGGACUGAGACACGGCCCAGACUCCUACGGGAGGCAGCAGUGGGGAAUAUUGCACAAUGGGCGAAAGCCUGAUGCAGCGACGCCGCGUGAGGGAUGACGGCCUUCGGGUUGUAAACCUCUUUCAGUAGGGAAGAAGCGAAAGUGACGGUACCUGCAGAAGAAGCACCGGCUAACUACGUGCCAGCAGCCGCGGUAAUACGUAGGGUGCGAGCGUUAUCCGGAAUUAUUGGGCGUAAAGAGCUCGUAGGCGGUUUGUCGCGUCUGUCGUGAAAGUCCGGGGCUUAACCCCGGAUCUGCGGUGGGUACGGGCAGACUAGAGUGCAGUAGGGGAGACUGGAAUUCCUGGUGUAGCGGUGGAAUGCGCAGAUAUCAGGAGGAACACCGAUGGCGAAGGCAGGUCUCUGGGCUGUAACUGACGCUGAGGAGCGAAAGCAUGGGGAGCGAACAGGAUUAGAUACCCUGGUAGUCCAUGCCGUAAACGUUGGGCACUAGGUGUGGGGACCAUUCCACGGUUUCCGCGCCGCAGCUAACGCAUUAAGUGCCCCGCCUGGGGAGUACGGCCGCAGGGCUAAAACUCAAAGGAAUUGACGGGGGCCCGCACAAGCGGCGGAGCAUGCGGAUUAAUUCGAUGCAACGCGAAGAACCUUACCAAGGCUUGACAUGUUCUCGAUCGCCGUAGAGAUACGGUUUCCCCUUUGGGGCGGGUUCACAGGCGGUGCAUGGUUGUCGUCAGCUCGUGUCGUGAGAUGUUGGGUUAAGUCCCGCAACGAGCGCAACCCUCGUUCCAUGUUGCCAGCACGUAAUGGUGGGGACUCAUGGGAGACUGCCGGGGUCAACUCGGAGGAAGGUGAGGACGACGUCAAAUCAUCAUGCCCCUUAUGUCUUGGGCUUCACGCAUGCUACAAUGGCCGGUACAAUGGGUUGCGAUACUGUGAGGUGGAGCUAAUCCCAAAAAGCCGGUCUCAGUUCGGAUUGGGGUCUGCAACUCGACCCCAUGAAGUCGGAGUCGCUAGUAAUCGCAGAUCAGCAACGCUGCGGUGAAUACGUUCCCGGGCCU
rnacentral:rRNA from 1 species